rnacentral:snRNA from 1 species
AAUCGUUUAUGUAACAGUUCUUA